UAUAAAGGAAGAAAGGAGAUAAUAAAGAAAAGGGGACGAUGAUGAAAAUGCGUGUGGGAGGAAAUGAAAUUUGAGAUAGAAAACAAUAAACAGGAUGUGAUAGAUUUGUGACAAAGAUGCAAAGGAGCCAGCUUUGAUUAUAAAAACCAUGCAGAGAGAGAAAGAGAGAAAGAGAGACAGAGACAGAGAGAGAGAGAGAGAGAGACAGAGAGAGAGAGACAGAGAGAGAGGUAGAUAGAUAGAUGGAUAGAUAGACAGACAGACAGACACAUACAUGCAUGCAUACAUACAUACAUACAUACAUGGAUAGAUAGAUAGAUAGAUAGAUAGAUAGAUAGAUAGAUAGAUAGGUAGACAGAGAUAGAGACAGAAAGAGAAAGAGAGAGAGAGUGUGCGUGUGUGUGUGUGUUUGUGUGGUUGUGUGUGCGUGUGUGUGUGUGUGUGUGUUUGUGUGGCUGUGUGUGCGUGUGUGUGUGUUAUGAGUUAGUGGUUGACAGAGUUGUCCGGUGUGACUGUUUGGUUCAUAUAGCGCCAGGAUCCUUAGUUAUAUUUGUGUGGAGACACUGAGAGGCAUUUAUUUCGUCGAGGUUGAUUGCUUGGUUGAUCAAAUGUUGUGACAAGAAGCGCUCGUAACCUGUCCGCGGAGUGCUGAAGUUGAAAGAACAGGCCUUGCUCGAUGAACUCUGGAAAAUUUUCAGACCCCUAAACGUUAGCCAAUAGCUAAACAGAGACAGUUGAUGGUGAAGGGCAGUGAAAUAACAGAGUAGGGUGGAGUACAAAGGUUAGGGAAUAGAGAAGAGAGAGAGAGAGAGAGAGAGAAAAUGAAUCAUUGAUGGUACAGGUGAUGCUGUUCCACUGGAUGAGCAAGUGACAUAAGAGAGAACAGAAAAGAAAAUUAAAACAAAAAAAAAAAAAACCAGCAAGUAAACAAAAAAGCGAAAAUGGUUUCAAGGAAAUUGUGGAGCAGGGUUCAGUUUUCAGGGAUGAUGAAAUAUAGGAACAGAGAUGAGGGAUAGAAACGAAUGAGUAUUUAACGACAGCAAAAUCUUUCAUGAAGGAAAGGGAAGAAAAUCUACAAUACAGUAGUAAACGGGAGAAAGAAAAAUGAACAGAAAGAGCGACUGAAGUAGAAGAGAAAUAAAGCAGGCCAGAUGAGAAGUAGGCUACAUGAGACUUGAGCCAUAAUCAAGUGGGCUGCACUGCUAAAAAUUAUAAAGAUUCCAGAGAAAUUUACCCGGAAGAUAUGAAGAUGCAAGAACCAAUACAAAAUGAGCUAUCACCUACAGAAACAUAACAGGGAUGAAAUAUCCUCUCAAAAAUAUUAACUAAAUGUUAACUAAAAAAUAUGAAUGUAAUAAAAAUUAAAAUAUUAAAAUUCCAAUUCCUUUUCAAAAUUCCUCCUUUCAUUAAGAAAAUAAUUAAUCUGGUGUCAGAAGUAUAUAUUACAGGAUAAAUGAUUCUUCUCCAAUAAGAGUAAAAUUUGACCAUGCAUUGUUAUGUAUCAGUAAUCUGACAGGGUGGACUAAAUUAGCAACUCAUAGCUUGUUUUUUAAUCACAACUCACACUUAAUUGAGCAGACUUAUAAGUGAAAGAUUUUCUGACCUUGAGCAUUCCAUCUUUUGUUUUAAAACAGUCUAUUGAAGACUACAUUAUCUAAUAAGACUUUUCUUUUUCUUAUUUUUUUUUUAUGUUAGGGUACAUGUUGAAGAAAAUUUGGCUGCUAUUUCUAGUGAGCUGAGUGACCACAGAAAGAUUGCCCUUCAUUGGCUUGUAAAUUUUGUGUUGAUAUUUGGUUCAAUUGUCUCAUUGAGGAUCCCUUUCUUUAUAUGACUUACAGGAGAAAGGACCUCAAAGACCUGGAGGGAAAAAGUAAAGUUAUCCUUAGACCAGAGACUCUGCCUGAAUAUUUGCAACAAAGUAGAUAUCAUUAAAGGCAUCAAGGGUCAGGUGAUGUUAAACCAGGUUGCGGAUUAAUUCAUUUGUGCAUUCCCUAAUUCACAUAAUUGUAGAGAAUCAAUAGAGUAUCUGGUAAUCUUAUCUGCAACGCAUAGUGUUCUAUACAUAGAUUUCUUUCAUUCACAAACAACACUGAAUAGAAAGUUGAACACCAGCUUCAUGAGCUUGUGAAAACAUCAUUUAUCAUGCAAGUUCAUAUAUAUAAUCAAUAAUAAUUAUAUUCUCUCAUGUUGAGUCAGGUCUAAGAAAUCUCAUUUUCUUUUCAUGCUCAGAGUCUCAGAACAAUAGCAGUAAUAUAGCACAUAACAAUGAAGCCAUUUCUUUACUUACCAAUCUGAAUCUAACAACUUUUGGUAGCAACGAAGAAUUUGAAAUGUUUCUAAACAUGUUGCUCAGCAAAGAAAACUUUGGUUGAGAUCAAAAUACAAAAGCUUGAUGGAUUAUCUUGAAACCAGAUAAGACAAUUAAGAAAACUAAUGUAGACAGAACUUUGAUAGAGAUAAAGAAAGGAAAUAACAUGCUUUCUAUUACAGUUUAUAUAAAUCUUAUGAAAAUAAUUUUUCAAUGCUAACUAUUCAUUCCAGAAUAUUCUAACUCUAUGUGAAAAUAUCAUUGCUACUUCAAUACUGGAAAAUGGAAAAAUUCUAAUGGACUAAUGAAUUAGUCUUUAAUCUAAAUUGUAGUUCUGGUCAACAAAUUUUUUGCUUUGAAUAAAAUUUCCUGAUAACCAUUAAUAGUCAAGGAAACCAAGCUGUCUUUACAAAACUACCAACUGCCUUUAUACGUAUAUGUAUUGACAAUUAACGGAAAUAGAUGUUCAGUCAAUUGCAUAAACAUUACUGUAUCUUUCAAGAUGUUUUGAUAGACAGAAAAAAAUUGAAAAAAAAAGACAUCAAAUAAAAUAAAAAUAUAAUCAGAAAAUGAAAAUUUGUGAA